rnacentral:rRNA from 1 species
CUGGCUCAGGAUGAACGCUGGCGAGAUGCCUUAUACAUGCAAGUCGUACGAGAUUAAACUCAAGUGGCGGACGGGUGAGUAACACGUAAGAAUUUGCCUUUAGGAGGGGGACAACAACUGGAAACGGUUGCUAAUACCCCAUAUGCUUUCGAGUGAAAUGGAUUUUUUCGCCUAAAGAGAAGCUUGCGGCUGAUUAGCUUGUUGGUGAGGUAAGGGCUCACCAAGGCGACGAUCAGUAUCUGGUUUGAGAGGACGAUCAGACACACUGGAACUGAGACACGGUCCAGACUCCUACGGGAGGCAGCAGUAGGGAAUUUUCCGCAAUGGGCGAAAGCCUGACGGAGCAAUCUCGCGUGAGGGAUGACGGCCUAUGGGUUGUAAACCUCUUUUUUCAGGGAGGAAUAAUUGACGUGUACCUGAAGAAUAAGCAUCGGCUAACUNCGUGCCAGCAGCCGCGGUAAGACGGAGGAUGCAA